UACGGAGGGGGCUAGCGUUGUUCGGAAUCACUGGGCGUAAAGCGCACGUAGGCGGACGUGUCAGUCAGGGGUGAAAUCCCGGAGCUCAACUUCGGAACUGCCUUUGAUACAGCACGUCUUGAGUCCGGAAGAGGUGGGUGGAAUUCCUAGUGUAGAGGUGAAAUUCGUAGAUAUUAGGAAGAACACCGGUGGCGAAGGCGGCUAUCUGGCCCGUAAUUGACGCUGAGGCGCGAAAGCGUGGGGAGCAAACAGG
rnacentral:rRNA from 1 species